AUACUUACCUGGCAGGGAGCUUCCAGGAUCACAGAGGUGGUUCUCCCAGUGUGAGGCGUAUCUGUUUCACUCUGGAUGCCCUGACCCCUGUGAUUGUCCCAAAUGUGGGAAAUUUGACUGCACACAUGGUGGCGGGGACUGCGUGUGCCCUCUCCCCUG